rnacentral:rRNA from 1 species
UGGGGAAUUUUGGACAAUGGGCGCAAGCCUGAUCCAGCCAUGCCGCGUGUGGGAAGAAGGCCUUCGGGUUGUAAACCACUUUUGUCAGGGAAGAAACGGUCUGGUCUAAUAAACCGGACUAAUGACGGUACCUGAAGAAUAAGCACCGGCUAACUACGUGCCAGCAGCCGCGGUAAUACGUAGGGUGCAAGCGUUAAUCGGAAUUACUGGGCGUAAAGCGUGCGCAGGCGGCUUUGCAAGACAGAUGUGAAAUCCCCGGGCUCAACCUGGGAACUGCAUUUGUGACUGCAAGGCUAGAGUACGGCAGAGGGGGAUGGAAUUCCGCGUGUAGCAGUGAAAUGCGUAGAUAUGCGGAGGAACACCGAUGGCGAAGGCAAUCCCCUGGGCCUGUACUGACGCUCAUGCACGAAAGCGUGGGGAGCAAACAGGAUUAGAUACCCUGGUAGUCCACGCCCUAAACGAUGUCAACUGGUUGUUGGGAGGGUUUCUUCUCAGUAACGAAGCUAACGCGUGAAGNAGGCCGCCUGGGGAGUACGGCCGCAAGGUUG